GACGAACGCGGGCGGCGUGCCUAAUACAUGCAAGUAGAACGCACAGGAUGCACCGUAGUUUACUACACCGUAUUCUGUGAGUUGCGAACGGGUGAGUAACGCGUAGGUAACCUGCCUGGUAGCGGGGGAUAACUAUUGGAAACGAUAGCUAAUACCGCAUAAGAACAUUUACUGCAUGGUAGAUGUUUAAAAGGUGCAAGUGCAUCACUACCAGAUGGACCUGCGUUGUAUUAGCUAGUUGGUGAGGUAACGGCUCACCAAGGCAACGAUACAUAGCCGACCUGAGAGGGUGAUCGGCCACACUGGGACUGAGACACGGCCCAGACUCCUACGGGAGGCAGCAGUAGGGAAUCUUCGGCAAUGGGGGGAACCCUGACCGAGCAACGCCGCGUGAGUGAAGAAGGUUUUCGGAUCGUAAAGCUCUGUUGUUAAGGAAGAACGUGUGUGAGAGUGGAAAGUUCACACAGUGACGGUACUUAACCAGAAAGGGACGGCUAACUACGUGCCAGCAGCCGCGGUAAUACGUAGGGGGCAAGCGUUAUCCGGAUUUACUGGGUGUAAAGGGAGCGCAGGCGGUUUUGCAAGUUGAGAGUGGAAGCAGGGGGCUCAACCCCCUGACUGCUCCCAAAACUGUAAAACUUGAGUAUGGGAGAGGCAGGCGGAAUUCCUAGUGUAGCGGUGAAAUGCUUAGAUAUUAGGAAGAACACCGGUGGCGAAGGCGGCCUGCUGGACCAAAACUGACGCUGAGGCUCGAAAGCGUGGGUAGCAAACAGG
rnacentral:rRNA from 1 species